ensembl:lncRNA
GUCUGGCGUGAUACCUUGCUCAUUAAAUGAGGGGAGCUCCUGCAUGUUGAAUGAGGAGUACCUCAACUGCCCUCUCUCAGUCCCACACAAAGUAGGCAGGGACAGCUUGGUGAGGACCGUAGGAAGACUGACUUGCCGAGAUAAGAAGGACUUUAUAAGAAUUUUGCAUUAAUCAGAGAAGAAAUCUCUGAUUAAUGAAUAACCAGGACCAAGAAACCUAAAGUUGCCAUAACAAACUGGUACAGGCAGGCGGAUGGGCAGAUGCUGCAGAUGAAUAGGUACUGUAGAUGGGUCUCCAACUCUAGUCCUCUACCUCAUUGUUUUCUUGUUUUUCUUACAU